rnacentral:tRNA from 2 species
GCGGCGGUGGCGGAACUGGUAGACGCGUCAGCUUGAGGGGCUGGUGGGGGCAACCCCGUGGAGGUUCGAGUCCUCUUCGCCGCACCA